UGGCGAACGGGUGAGUAACACGUGAGUAACCUGCCCUUGACUCUGGGAUAAGCCUGGGAAACUGGGUCUAAUACCGGAUACGACCAUCUGGCGCAUGUCAUGGUGGUGGAAAGCUUUUGUGGUUUUGGAUGGACUCGCGGCCUAUCAGCUUGUUGGUGGGGUAAUGGCCUACCAAGGCGACGACGGGUAGCCGGCCUGAGAGGGUGACCGGCCACACUGGGACUGAGACACGGCCCAGACUCCUACGGGAGGCAGCAGUGGGGAAUAUUGCACAAUGGGCGCAAGCCUGAUGCAGCGACGCCGCGUGAGGGAUGACGGCCUUCGGGUUGUAAACCUCUUUCAGUAGGGAAGAAGCGAAAGUGACGGUACCUGCAGAAGAAGCGCCGGCUAACUACGUGCCAGCAGCCGCGGUAAUACGUAGGGCGCAAGCGUUAUCCGGAAUUAUUGGGCGUAAAGAGCUCGUAGGCGGUUUGUCGCGUCUGCUGUGAAAGACCGGGGCUCAACUCCGGUUCUGCAGUGGGUACGGGCAGACUAGAGUGCAGUAGGGGAGACUGGAAUUCCUGGUGUAGCGGUGAAAUGCGCAGAUAUCAGGAGGAACACCGAUGGCGAAGGCAGGUCUCUGGGCUGUAACUGACGCUGAGGAGCGAAAGCAUGGGGAGCGAACAGGAUUAGAUACCCUGGUAGUCCAUGCCGUAAACGUUGGGCACUAGGUGUGGGGGACAUUCCACGUUUUCCGCGCCGUAGCUAACGCAUUAAGUGCCCCGCCUGGGGAGUACGGCCGCAAGGCUAAAACUCAAAGGAAUUGACGGGGGCCCGCACAAGCGGCGGAGCAUGCGGAUUAAUUCGAUGCAACGCGAAGAACCUUACCAAGGCUUGACAUGAACCGGAAAGACCUGGAAACAGGUGCCCCGCUUGCGGUCGGUUUACAGGUGGUGCAUGGUUGUCGUCAGCUCGUGUCGUGAGAUGUUGGGUUAAGUCCCGCAACGAGCGCAACCCUCGUUCUAUGUUGCCAGCGCGUUAUGGCGGGGACUCAUAGGAGACUGCCGGGGUCAACUCGGAGGAAGGUGGGGACGACGUCAAAUCAUCAUGCCCCUUAUGUCUUGGGCUUCACGCAUGCUACAAUGGCCGGUACAAAGGGUUGCGAUACUGUGAGGUGGAGCUAAUCCCAAAAAGCCGGUCUCAGUUCGGAUUGGGGUCUGCAACUCGACCCCAUGAAGUCGGAGUCGCUAGUAAUCGCAGAUCAGCAACGCUGCGGUGAAUACGUUCCCGGGCCUUGUACACACCGCCCGUCAAGUCACGAAAGUUGGUAACACCC
rnacentral:rRNA from 1 species